rnacentral:rRNA from 1 species
UACGGAGGGGGCUAGCGUUGUUCGGAAUUACUGGGCGUAAAGCGCGCGUAGGCGGCUUUGUAAGUUAGAGGUGAAAGCCCGGAGCUCAACUCCGGAACUGCCUUUAAGACUGCAUCGCUAGAAUCAUGGAGAGGUGAGUGGAAUUCCGAGUGUAGAGGUGAAAUUCGUAGAUAUCGAGAGGAACACCUGCGGCGAAGGCGGGUUGCUGGGCUGACACUGACGCUGACAGCGCGAAAGCUAGGGGAGCGAACGGG